GGUGCUAGACUUGCCUACAGAGCCUCUGAACACUUUAAGGUUUGUCAACCUGGGUUUUGACCACUACGAUGAGAAAAAAAUUCAGCAACAACACAAUCAAAUGGAAGUGUUCACAAACAAUAUAGGAACUAUGUGCGUGUGCUUCAGCCAACCAGCGAUCGAUGGCAGGAGCAGACUUACAGCGUCAUCUUCGUUCAUAAAGGC